rnacentral:rRNA from 1 species
GAUGAACGCUGGCGGCGUGCCUAACACAUGCAAGUCGAGCGACCGGACGAGAAGCUCGUUUCCCUGCUGUUAGCGGCGGACGGGUGAGUAACACGUGGAUCACCUUCUUAUUUUUCUGGGAUAACUUCGGGAAACCGGUGCCACUACUGGCUGAUAUUUUGAACCGCAUGGUUCAAAAGUGCUUGACGGCUUUGCUGUCACUAUUAGCUGGUUCCGCGCUGGAUUAGCUAGUUGGUAAGGUAACGGCUUACCAAGGCGACGAUGCAUAGCUGACCUGAGAGGGUGAUCAGCCACACUGGAACUGAGACACGGUCCAGACUCCUACGGGAGGCAGCAGUAGGGAAUCUUCGACAAUGGGCGAAAGCCUGACGGAGCAACGCCGCGUGGGUGAAGAAGGUCUUCGGGUCGUAAAACUCUGUUAUUGGGGAAGAACAGAUGUGGGAGUAACCGUGCAUGUCUUGACGGUACCUAAACAGAAAGCCACGGCUAACUACGUG